rnacentral:rRNA from 1 species
GGGUUGUGAGGUUAAGCGACUAAGCGUACACGGUGGAUGCCCUGGCAGUCAGAGGCGAUGAAGGACGUGCUAAUCUGCGAUAAGCGUCGGUAAGGUGAUAUGAACCGUUAUAACCGGCGAUUUCCGAAUGGGGAAACCCAGUGUGUUUCGACACACUAUCAUUAACUGAAUCCAUAGGUUAAUGAGGCGAACCGGGGGAACUGAAACAUCUAAGUACCCCGAGGAAAAGAAAUCAACCGAGAUUCCCCCAGUAGCGGCGAGCGAACGGGGAGCAGCCCAGAGCCUGAAUCAGUAUGUGUGUUAGUGGAAGCGUCUGGAAAGGCGCGCGAUACAGGGUGACAGCCCCGUACACAAAAAUGCACAUGCUGUGAGCUCGAUGAGUAGGGCGGGACACGUGGUAUCCUGUCUGAAUAUGGGGGGACCAUCCUCCAAGGCUAAAUACUCCUGACUGACCGAUAGUGAACCAGUACCGUGAGGGAAAGGCGAAAAGAACCCCGGCGAGGGGAGUGAAAAAGAACCUGAAACCGUGUACGUACAAGCAGUGGGAGCACGCUUAGGCGUGUGACUGCGUACCUUUUGUAUAAUGGGUCAGCGACUUAUAUUCUGUAGCAAGGUUAACCGAAUAGGGGAGCCGAAGGGAAACCGAGUCUUAACUGGGCGUUAAGUUGCAGGGUAUAGACCCGAAACCCGGUGAUCUAGCCAUGGGCAGGUUGAAGGUUGGGUAACACUAACUGGAGGACCGAACCGACUAAUGUUGAAAAAUUAGCGGAUGACUUGUGGCUGGGGGUGAAAGGCCAAUCAAACCGGGAGAUAGCUGGUUCUCCCCGAAAGCUAUUUAGGUAGCGCCUCGUGAAUUCAUCUCCGGGGGUAGAGCACUGUUUCGGCAAGGGGGUCAUCCCGACUUACCAACCCGAUGCAAACUGCGAAUACCGGAGAAUGUUAUCACGGGAGACACACGGCGGGUGCUAACGUCCGUCGUGAAGAGGGAAACAACCCAGACCGCCAGCUAAGGUCCCAAAGUCAUGGUUAAGUGGGAAACGAUGUGGGAAGGCCCAGACAGCCAGGAUGUUGGCUUAGAAGCAGCCAUCAUUUAAAGAAAGCGUAAUAGCUCACUGGUCGAGUCGGCCUGCGCGGAAGAUGUAACGGGGCUAAACCAUGCACCGAAGCUGCGGCAGCGACGCUGAUGCGUUGUUGGGUAGGGGAGCGUUCUGUAAGCCUGCGAAGGUGUGCUGUGAGGCAUGCUGGAGGUAUCAGAAGUGCGAAUGCUGACAUAAGUAACGAUAAAGCGGGUGAAAAGCCCGCUCGCCGGAAGACCAAGGGUUCCUGUCCAACGUUAAUCGGGGCAGGGUGAGUCGACCCCUAAGGCGAGGCCGAAAGGCGUAGUCGAUGGGAAACAGGUUAAUAUUCCUGUACUUGGUGUUACUGCGAAGGGGGGACGGAGAAGGCUAUGUUGGCCGGGCGACGGUUGUCCCGGUUUAAGCGUGUAGGCUGGUUUUCCAGGCAAAUCCGGAAAACUAAGGCUGAGGCGUGAUGACGAGGCACUACGGUGCUGAAGCAACAAAUGCCCUGCUUCCAGGAAAAGCCUCUAAGCAUCAGGUAACAUCAAAUCGUACCCCAAACCGACACAGGUGGUCAGGUAGAGAAUACCAAGGCGCUUGAGAGAACUCGGGUGAAGGAACUAGGCAAAAUGGUGCCGUAACUUCGGGAGAAGGCACGCUGAUAUGUAGGUGAAGUCCCUCGCGGAUGGAGCUGAAAUCAGUCGAAGAUACCAGCUGGCUGCAACUGUUUAUUAAAAACACAGCACUGUGCAAACACGAAAGUGGACGUAUACGGUGUGACGCCUGCCCGGUGCCGGAAGGUUAAUUGAUGGGGUUAGCGCAAGCGAAGCUCUUGAUCGAAGCCCCGGUAAACGGCGGCCGUAACUAUAACGGUCCUAAGGUAGCGAAAUUCCUUGUCGGGUAAGUUCCGACCUGCACGAAUGGCGUAAUGAUGGCCAGGCUGUCUCCACCCGAGACUCAGUGAAAUUGAACUCGCUGUGAAGAUGCAGUGUACCCGCGGCAAGACGGAAAGACCCCGUGAACCUUUACUAUAGCUUGACACUGAACAUUGAGCCUUGAUGUGUAGGAUAGGUGGGAGGCUUUGAAGUGUGGACGCCAGUCUGCAUGGAGCCGACCUUGAAAUACCACCCUUUAAUGUUUGAUGUUCUAACGUUGACCCGUAAUCCGGGUUGCGGACAGUGUCUGGUGGGUAGUUUGACUGGGGCGGUCUCCUCCUAAAGAGUAACGGAGGAGCACGAAGGUUGGCUAAUCCUGGUCGGACAUCAGGAGGUUAGUGCAAUGGCAUAAGCCAGCUUGACUGCGAGCGUGACGGCGCGAGCAGGUGCGAAAGCAGGUCAUAGUGAUCCGGUGGUUCUGAAUGGAAGGGCCAUCGCUCAACGGAUAAAAGGUACUCCGGGGAUAACAGGCUGAUACCGCCCAAGAGUUCAUAUCGACGGCGGUGUUUGGCACCUCGAUGUCGGCUCAUCACAUCCUGGGGCUGAAGUAGGUCCCAAGGGUAUGGCUGUUCGCCAUUUAAAGUGGUACGCGAGCUGGGUUUAGAACGUCGUGAGACAGUUCGGUCCCUAUCUGCCGUGGGCGCUGGAGAACUGAGGGGGGCUGCUCCUAGUACGAGAGGACCGGAGUGGACGCAUCACUGGUGUUCGGGUUGUCAUGCCAAUGGCACUGCCCGGUAGCUAAAUGCGGAAGAGAUAAGUGCUGAAAGCAUCUAAGCACGAAACUUGCCCCGAGAUGAGUUCUCCCUGACUCCUUGAGAGUCCUGAAGGAACGUUGAAGACGACGACGUUGAUAGGCCGGGUGUGUAAGCGCAGCGAUGCGUUGAGCUAACCGGUACUAAUGAACCGUGAGGCUUAACCUUACAACGCCGAAGCUGUU